rnacentral:rRNA from 1 species
UGGCUCUUGUCUAUGUUCCUUGGACAGGACGUCACAGAGGGUGAGAAUCCCGUGCGAUGAGAUGCCCAAUUCUAUGUAAAGUGCUUUCGAAGAGUCGAGUUGUUUGGGAAUGCAGCUCUAAGUGGGUGGUAAAUUCCAUCUAAAGCUAAAUAUUGGCGAGAGACCGAUAGCGAACAAGUACAGUGAUGGAAAGAUGAAAAGAACUUUGAAAAGAGAGUGAAAAAGUACGUGAAAUUGUUGAAAGGGAAGGGCUUGAGAUCAGACUUGGUAUUUUGCGAUCCUUUCCUUCUUGGUUGGGUUCCUCGCAGCUUACUGGGCCAGCAUCGGUUUGGAUGGUAGGAUAAUGACUAAGGAAUGUGGCUCUACUUCGGUGGAGUGUUAUAGCCUUGGUUGAUACUGCCUGUCUAGACCGAGGACUGCGUCUUUU